rnacentral:misc_RNA from 1 species
CUGCACUUCACUUGGAGCUGGUG